AAAGUCGUAACAAGGUUUCCGUAGGUGAACCUGCGGAAGGAUCAUUAUAGAUUUCUGCGCGUAUUUUCGCGCAUGUAUUUAAAACCCCACUCUUAUAAAUCAUAUAUUUUACUUUUAAGUAAAAAAAAAGAUCACUUUCAACAACGGAUCUCUUGGUUCUC
rnacentral:misc_RNA from 1 species